UGGGGAAUAUUGCACAAUGGGGGAAACCCUGAUGCAGCGACGCCGCGUGGAGGAAGAAGGUCUUCGGAUUGUAAACUCCUGUUGUUGGGGACGAUAAUGACGGUACCCAACAAGGAAGUGACGGCUAACUACGUGCCAGCAGCCGCGGUAAAACGUAGGUCACAAGCGUUGUCCGGAAUUACUGGGUGUAAAGGGAGCGCAGGCGGGAAGACAAGUUGGGAGUGAAAUCUAUGGGCUCAACCCAUAAACUGCUCUCAAAACUGUUUUUCUUGAGUAGUGCAGAGGUAGGCGGAAUUCCCGGUGUAGCGGUGGAAUGCGUAGAUAUCGGGAGGAACACCAGUGGCGAAGGCGGCCUACUGGGCACCAACUGACGCUGAGGCUCGAAAGUGUGGGUAGCAAAC
rnacentral:rRNA from 1 species